CGGUGUGAGGGAGAUCUGGUUGUUACACCUGUGACCUCUGCCAUCCCAUUUCCACCAUGGUUCGUUUGGAUGACGUGGCGGGCUAGCUCAGUUGUACUUCUCUCAUAGCCCCAUGUGCAUCCUUACUGAAGCUGUGCGUUCGAUGGAAGAAGAGGACCUUGCCAGUUAGAGGAGAGCUAUUCUUUGGUCCAGAGUAAAGGAGUAGCUGUGCUCCUCUGUCAGAGCCCCCAAACAAGCAGAGCAGGUUACAAAUGUCAAGUCUUGCCUCCUCCUAGCAAUGGACUUGGUCCAGCUAU
rnacentral:snRNA from 1 species